rnacentral:rRNA from 1 species
UACGUAGGUGGCAAGCGUUGUCCGGAAUUAUUGGGCGUAAAGCGCGCGCAGGCGGUUUCUUAAGUCCAUCUUAAAAGCGUGGGGCUCAACCCCAUGAGGGGAUGGAAACUGGGAAGCUGGAGUAUCGGAGAGGAAAGUGGAAUUCCUAGUGUAGCGGUGAAAUGCGUAGAGAUUAGGAAGAACACCGGUGGCGAAGGCGACUUUCUAGACGAAAACUGACGCUGAGGCGCGAAAGCGUGGGGAGCAAACAGG